rnacentral:rRNA from 1 species
UGGAAGUAAAAGUCGUAACAAGGUCUCCGUUGGUGAACCAGCGGAGGGAUCAUUACCGAGUUUACAACUCCCAAACCCAAUGUGAACGUUACCAAACUGUUGCCUCGGCGGGAUCUCUGCCCCGGGUGCGUCGCAGCCCCGGACCAAGGCGCCCGCCGGAGGACCAACCUAAAACUCUUAUUGUAUACCCCCUCGCGGGUUUUUUUAUAAUCUGAGCCUUCUCGGCGCCUCUCGUAGGCGUUUCGAAAAUGAAUCAAAACUUUCAACAACGGAUCUCUUGGUUCUGGCAUCGAUGAAGAACGCAGCGAAAUGCGAUAAGUAAUGUGAAUUGCAGAAUUCAGUGAAUCAUCGAAUCUUUGAACGCACAUUGCGCCCGCCAGUAUUCUGGCGGGCAUGCCUGUCCGAGCGUCAUUUCAACCCUCGAACCCCUCCGGGGGGUCGGCGUUGGGGAUCGGCCCUCCCUUAGCGGGUGGCCGUCUCCGAAAUACAGUGGCGGUCUCGCCGCAGCCUCUCCUGCGCAGUAGUUUGCACACUCGCAUCGGGAGCGCGGCGCGUCCACAGCCGUUAAACACCCAACUUCUGAAAUGUGACCU